rnacentral:rRNA from 1 species
AUUGAACGCUGGCGGCAGGCCUAACACAUGCAAGUCGAGCGGAUGAAGGGAGCUUUCUCCUGGAUUCCGCGGCGGACGGGUGAGUAAUUCCUACGAAUCUGCCUGGUAGUUGGGGAUAACGUCCGUAAACGGGCGCUAAUACCGCAUACGUCCUGAUGUAGAAAGUGGUGGAUCUUCGGACCUCACCCUAUCAGAUGAGACUAGGUCGGAUUAGCUAGUUGGUGGGGUAAAGGCCUACCAAGGCGACGAUCCGUAACUGAUCUGAGAGGAUGAUCAGUCACACUGGAACUGAGACACGGUCCAGACUCCUACGGGAGGCAGCAGUGGGGAAUAUUGCACAAUGGGCGAAAGCCUGAUCCAGCCACGCCGCGUGUGUGAAGAAGGUCUUCGGAUUGUAAAGCACUUUAAGUUGGGAGGAAGGGCAGUAAGUUAAUCCCUUGCUGUUUUGACGUUACCAACAGAAUAAGCACCGGCUAACUUCGUG